rnacentral:lncRNA from 1 species
UCACUAUACUUCCCGAAGGGUGUCGGGCAGCCCGGAUAGCCUUGAGACCUUCCACCCAUUGCCCAGCUUCUCUCCACCACGGGAUGCGAGCACUUGCUUCCUGGAGUCUCUCGUGGGCCUGUCUGAGCCGGUUACAGAAGUCCUGGCACCCCUUCUGGAGAGCCAGUUUGAGGAUGCUGCCUUGGCACCUUUGUUGGAGCCUGUGCCAGUGUAAGGAUUAAGGUGCCUUCUUCCUGCCCUGAGACCCUGUUGCUGCUCUUUGUGAUCUUGGGGUUCCCCGAGGUCUAUGUAUGUAACGGUCUCCUACGGGCUGGUCCUGCUCAUGGUGCCAUGUGGGCACCCUCUAUUUUUACAUUAACACUCUGAAUUUAUUUAUUUUUUUAUGUUUUUCUGUACUGAAGAAGGGAGGGUGGGGAGGGUACCCCUCUUUCAAUGCCUGGUCUCUUUAUGUCCAAACAGAGGUCUUCCACCUCCUACUGUAUGCCUGAAGGAGGAAGGGGCGGGGCUCUCCUGGAGCCUCGCAGUCCCUCUUUCUGUACUGUAAGAUGCUCCUUGCUCCAAAGACAGCGACGGCUGAGCGCAGGGCCUUAGGGGCUUCUGUGAACCAUAGGAGCUAGGUCUUCUGGACUGUGAAGAUGUAAUUUAUAUCUGUAAUUUAUUUGGGGAUGGAGACGGCAGUGGUGGAGCCUCUCUGGCGGGUGGGCAGGCAGUGUUGGGGCCGAGGCUUCGGUGUACCCUGCCAGUCUGGGCUUCGGUGUGGUGUGUGGGUUCGAGUUUAUGGCUGCUCUAUUAAACAGCGGCCUGGCUCAACUGAGCAGACAGAGGCUGUGCUUGACCAGCGGUGACCAAAACCCCUUCUGCCCCCUUCCCAGAAACUCUACUUGCCCUCUUUCCAAUUCCCUCUCCCCAAGGCCAUGGAUUAUAAAGCCCCUCUGUAAGAUGGUGAGCCAGGGGCCCUAAGAGGGCAUGAAGCACACCCUGAUCACUGUCUCAGGCCUUUCUGGGCACUGACUCGACCCUGGCCCACCUCACGCCCCCAGGCCAGUUGGCAACUGGUGGCUCUUGAGAGCUCUUACGCCCUUCAUUAGCUGAUGUUGGAUUUUAUAUGCAUUUUUUUAUUGUCUCUAAGUGUCAGAACUAUAAUUUAUUCAUUUCUUUGUGUGUGUGUGUGUGCCAAGAAACGCAGGCUCUGGGCCUGCCUCCUUGCCCAGGAGGCCUUGCCAGCCUGUGUGCUUGUGGGAACACACUGUACCUGAGCUGACAGGUACCAAUAAAGAUGCUCUAUUU